CAGUUUGAUCCUGGCUCAGGACGAACGCUGGAGGCGGGCUUAACACAUGCAAGUCGAACGGGAGCCUUUAUUUCGGUAAGGGUGAGAGUGGCAAACGGGUGAGUAACACGUAGGCAACCUGCCGACAGGAUGGGGACAACAUUCCGAAAGGAAUGCUAAUACCGAAUGAAGUCGAGGGAAGGCAUCUUCCUCCGAUGAAAGAUAGCCUCUGAACAUGCUAUCACCUGUCGAUGGGCCUGCGUCUGAUUAGCCAGUUGGCGGGGUAACGGCCCACCAAAGCGACGAUCAGUAGCCGGUCUGAGAGGAUGAACGGCCACAUUGGGACUGAGACACGGCCCAGGCUCCUACGGGAGGCAGCAGUGGGGAAUCUUCCACAAUGGGCGAAAGCCUGAUGGAGCAACGCCGCGUGAGUGAAGAAGGUCUUCGGAUCGUAAAGCUCUGUUGCAGGGGACGAAAACCGGGUUUGAGAACAUUGAGCCUGGGUGACGGUACCUUGCGAGGAAGCCACGGCUAACUACGUGCCAGCAGCCGCGGUAAUACGUAGGUGGCGAGCGUUGUCCGGAAUUAUUGGGCGUAAAGGGAGCGCAGGCGGGCUGCCAAGUCCAUCUUAAAAGUGCGGGACUCGACCCCGUGAGGGGAU
rnacentral:rRNA from 1 species